CCUACGGGUGGCAGCAGUAGGGAAUAUUGCUCAAUGGGGGAAACCCUGAAGCAGCAACGCCGCGUGGAGGAUGAAUGUUUUAUGAUUGUAAACUCCUUUUGUGAGAGAAGAUAAUGACGGUAUCUCACGAAUAAGCACCGGCUAACUCCGUGCCAGCAGCCGCGGUAAGACGGAGGGUGCAAGCGUUACUCGGAAUCACUGGGCGUAAAGGGUGCGCUGGCGGGCUUGUAAUUCAGAUGUGAAAUCCUGUAGCUUAACUACAGAACUGCAUUUGAAUCUAUGGGUCUAGAGUGUGGGAGAGGUAGGUGGAAUUCUUGGUGUAGGGGUGAAAUGCGUAGAUAUCAAGAAGAAUACUCAUUGCGAAGGCGACCUACUGGAACAUUACUGACGCUCAUGCACGAAAGCGUGGGGAGCAAACAGGAUUAGAUACCCGUGUAGUC
rnacentral:rRNA from 1 species